UGAGAGUGCUCACUCGUUGUAGUACAGUUGGAACACUAUAGAGAAGAUUAGUAUGGCCCCUAUGCAAGGAUGGCAUGUAAAUUCAUGAAGUGUUCCUUUUUUGU